rnacentral:rRNA from 1 species
CCUACGGGGGGCAGCAGUGAGGAAUAUUGGUCAAUGGUCGCGAGUCUGAACCAGCCAAGUAGCGUGCAGGAUGACUGCCCUAUGGGUUGUAAACUGCUUUUAUGCGGGGAUAAAACGCGGCACGUGUGCCGUUUUGCAGGUACUUUAUGAAUAAGGAUCGGCUAACUCCGUGCCAGCAGCCGCGGUAAUACGGAGGGUCCGGGCGUUAUCCGGAUUUAUUGGGUUUAAAGGGAGCGUAGAUGGCAUGUUAAGUCAGUUGUGAAAGUUCGUGGCUCAACCGUAACACUGCGAUGGAGACUGGCUGUCUUGAGUACAGUUGAGGUAUGCGGAAUUCGUGGUGUAGCGGUGAAAUGCUUAGAUAUCACGAAGAACCCCGAUUGCGAAGGCAGCUUACGAAAGUGUGACUGACACUGAUGCUCGAAAGUGCGGGUAUCGAACAGGAUUAGAUACCCCAGUAGUC